AGACUUCACCCGCUGAAAACACCACUCCCUCACUGAGUAGCGAUGAAGCUGACAAGAUAUCCAACCCACCGAGCAGUACCAGCCUUUUCUUUGAUGCUAUUGGGGAGCAGCAGAAUGAAAACAACAACAACCCAACAGUUUGCUCCAGUGACCCAUUUGUUGAAAUAAACCUGGACGAGCCGGCAUGGUGUGAUCAGCUCCUCAAUUCUUCUGAAGGUUCUUCCUCGGUCUUCCCCUUCUCUCCAUUCUCUUUAUCCUCCUCUUCCUCUUAGCACUUUGAAUGUUAUCCUCUUCCAUCAACAUAUAGGCAGAGACUGUCUUUCGUAGCACAUGGACAUGAGCACAACAUGUGUUUUUUUCCCCAAAGCUAGUAUGGAUUGUGAAGUGAACAACCAAGGAAUUAACAUCAACCUGUAAACAUGAAGCUAGCUUUAACUGAUUUCUUAUUGUGUUUUUAUAUGUUUUUGUUCAAAUUUAUUGGUCUCAUUUAGUAUUUUUUCUAAGACUAUAUGAAGGACUUUAAACUGAUUUUAAUUGAAUUGUUUGAAACUGAGCAAUUUGGGAAGCUCAAAGAGGCAGUCCAAAAUUGCAUCGAAGAAAAAGAAGGAUGGAAGAAAUGUUAAUCACAACUUUUCCUGCAUUUAACUGACUUAUUAUUAUUGUUGCCUAACCACACUGCAAACUUCAUACCAAAGGAAGUAAAAUAAGCAAGGUAGCUUAUUUGUGACAUCUAGACUAAGCAAUAACGCCUGAACUUUUUUUUUUUUUCCAAAUGUCAUCACUUCAUGAGCGUAUAGAUUGGCUGCAGUUCCUCUCAGAUCUAACAUCCUUUGAAGUAGGCUAAAGUUUUCUCAGAAGAGAUGUUUGGUUUUAAGUCAGAUUAUUUUUGGGGAAAUUAGUGUGUACAAAGUACUCAUAUAGGAAACAGUUGAUUAACUUUUUGUACAGUUUAAUAUUGCAAUAAUAAGUUAUGGUUGUAAUCCCAAGACGCAAAUGGACAUACACAAGAAUGAUGCUUCAUUUGGGAACCACAUCUCAUUACCAAUAAACAUAAAACUAGCUUUAACGCUUCCUUAUGAUUUUUUUGUUUGUUUUAUACAUUAUCAGCACAUCAAACUUAAAUCAAAUGAGUUUUUUCCUAAAAUGUAGCAUUUUUCUACUUCAUUUUAUUUACUAAAGCAUCAUAAAACAAGAUUAAAGUUAGCUUUAGCAGUGACAACUGUUACUCUCAAAUUAUCGAUGUAGGCUAGUUUCCCCUAAACCUACAGGGAGAUUUGUGAAAUCUCUGAACUAUAAAAAUACACUCUGUGUCAUAAUUGCUGUAAAUAUUUUUGUACACGAUAUAUUUUUUUUAGUAGAAUACUGUGAAUUAUUCACAUUUAUUCAAGUUCUAUAUUUUAAUUUUGUGACUCUGGAGGUUUCCAUUCUACUAGAUGUUUAAAUGCUUUCGUUUUUUUUAACCUACAUUUAUUUUGUCAUUUUUUUAAUAAACUGGUUUCUUUUCAGAAGCUAACUAAAAAUACAUUUCACCACUGCCAUUUUGCUCAAAGUGCUCAUUCAAACUGAUAUAUAAAUAUAUAAUUUUCUGACUAAUGUUAAAAAAAAAAACAUUGAGAAGUGUUACUUUGUUUCAUGUUAAAAAUCAAAUUGAUUCAAAUAAAACUAUUUUUUUUCAGAAUUUCACUGUUAUCCCUUCUUCAUUCUCUUUAUUAUCCUGAUGGUUAAAAAUGUCUCUCACUUAACUAAUUUUUGGGUUUAAUUCCAUUUGCUGCCUUACUCACACCAAACCUUUUCAGAAAGUCAUCUGUAUAUUCUUUGGUCCAUAUCAAAACUAUAAAACAAUUUUGACUACC